GGCUUGAAACCUGUCCUUUCAAAUACCGAAGGGGAUGAUGAUGCUACUCGUCCAAAAAUCACUCAACAGAUGACCACAGUUGGAGACGAUGCCCUGCUAGAUGGGGGCUCGAAACCUGUCCUUUCAAAUACCGAAGGGGAUGAUGAUGCUACUCGUCCAAAAAUCACUAAACAGAAAAGGUUCUUGAAAGUGAAGACGAAAGCACACAGGGGGCACACUGUUCAUCUACUGUUGAUGUAGAAGAGACUCUUCCUCACAUCGAGAGCCCUGAAAUUCCACCAACCAAGAAGCGAAGACAACGGCCGUUGGUUGAAAUGCCGGAAGAAGUCGGCGCUAUGAGGCCUUCCUCCCAAGGUGAACUCUUUACACAUGUCUUUUGUACGUCAGUAAAGAUUGUCUGUUCCUCUUUGGAAAUGGAUUUUAUUCAGUGUACCAAUUUCAAGUUGUAUCAGUUAUAACAGCCCUAUCAGAAUAUACGAAGGUUGGGGGAUGAAUUGUCAUUAGUUUAUUUUCAAUGCAUAUGCCUAUAAUGGGUGGAUUUAUGCAAUAUCUGUUUGGAAAUUGAAAGCUAAGAUGAUGCAUAUUAGCUUUCAAUUGGCUCACGUGGCAUACUUAAUCAACAUGCAUCCUUAAAGAGCCCAUGCCAUUAAAAUCACAUUUUUCCUAUUGUUUGUUAAAUAACAUAGGUCUGAAUAAGUUUGUGAGCUGUGGUAAGUUUGAAAUCUAUGCAGUUUGUCUGCUGAAUGCAAUAGGCAAUGUCUGUGUUGAUAGAAUAAUGUUAGAAAUAAAACUAACCAAAAUUCCGUUUCAUUAUUAUUAUCCCCAUGGCAAUAGCUGUCAAACAUCAGAUACUCGACUAAAGUAUGCUACAACUUGUCACCUUAUGCCUU